CCCGCUGAACUUAAGCAUAUUGCUCAGCGGAGGAAAAGAAAACAACCGUGAUUCCCUUAGUGAGCGGCGAGCGAACAGGGAUCCAACUCGAUGCCGAAUCGGGCUUUACAGAGCCUUGAGUUGUGGCACGACUGCCCCGUGACUGGUCAAGGGAGUGGCAAAAUUCAAUGUGCAAAGCAAACCCAUUGUUGAAUGCAACCCUUCAUGUGAGUAUUGAGCCAUAGGAGGUGAAAGCCCAUUCCAGCCACUGCAUACCCUAAGCCUCAUUGGGUGGUUAUAAGCGAGUAGCACUGCUUGGGAAUGCAGUGUCAAGCGGCAGGUAUGUGUCUGCCAAAGUUAAAUACAAAAUGGGAAGACCGAUAGCAAACAAGUAGCGUGAGCGAAAGUUUGAAAAGCACUUUGGAAAGAGAGUGACAUAGAACCUGAAGUCGUGACAAUGACAAUGAAAGUGCCUCCAUUUUUGUCAAGGCCAGCCCUGCAGCAUUAUCCGGUCCUCCGCCUUCGGGCGCCAGUGCCGGUCAAACAAGUGUUGGAAGGGGACUGGAGCAACGAGCCGAGGUAAAGGGAGGAGUCUUGCCUAGCAAUGCACCCUUUCCUUCUCGGUAGACUCAGCGACUUGACGCUCUGGAAAUGGGGUACCUUCACCCGUCUUGAAACACGG
rnacentral:rRNA from 1 species